CUACACAUGACAGCGUAGCCUACACAGUACACAGCUCUCCUUGAACAUUACACACCACUCAAUUUCAAUUAUUUAACUUAAUCUAGAUCUUACUACUUAAUCUGGUUUAAAAUAAGUUCCUAAGUCUGUUUGAAAUUACGAAGUACCCUGAAGGACAUUAGAUUUGAGGAUGUACUAACUAAACCUAACCUAGACUUCUAGUUUUUAGUUAACUCAGUCAGACUGUCACUGUAACUUAAACUCAACUGACUGGUAACUAGACUCUAAAACAGUACACUACUUCACUACACAGUAACUAGUUUACUAACUAGAAGUAAACCUGAGUCAUAGACAUAAUCAUCAUGUCAAAGACAGCAUGGGCCACUCUUUCAGCAUCAGCAGCCUUCACGUGUGGAGUAAUUUAUUAUGUUCACAUAAGCCAAAAGAAUGAUCGAGAGCGAUUACGUGAGGGUGUUAUCAAUGAUUUAGCCAGGCAACAAAAGAAACUACAGAAUGUUCUUCAUCUGGAACAGCAGGGAGAUAUAACAAAACUUUUAAGACAGCAACAACAAUUACAAGAUGAAGAAGACAGAAAAACCCGGUUGAAUAGUGAGAGAUAGUGUAUGCAUAUAUAACUUAACAAAUUUAAAUAGGUCUAUUUCAAUUUUUCAAUGAAGUUUCUUCAGCCUAAAGUGUUUUAGCAUAUUUUUUUACUUGUAAUGUAAAUAUUGACCAUAUAAGACUAUUGUUAUUUUUUAUAACUUGUUUAUUGUUUAGCUUUAGCUGUUAUUGAACCCUAAACAACACACUUAAAGGAGAAGCGUUAUUUCAUGAUUUUGAAUUGAUAACUGUUAUCUGUGAUGCAAGUUAUGAUAAAAUACAUGUAACCAAGUAUGUAAAUAGUUAACAAUUUAAAUGCUGAUUAUUUAAACCUAGAAUUUCAUCAUAUUAUAAAACAUUACAACACUUCCUGCAAGAUUAUGUGGUCGAGUAGUUUUAUUUACAUAAAAGAAGGAUUAAAUGUUCAAAUUACAUCUGUGGUCUUGAAGUUCUGUCAGGAUUGAUGGGCACUUGAUAUUUACCACAGGUCCAAACUUGUACUUUUUAGCACUUCAUCAAAGAAUGCUGUUGAAAUCAUUGCACUGAUUCAGAAUGUGACAUUUGUAUAUUGUAUUCUGAUAUAAUGGUAUUAGAAUCAUAAUUUAAAUCUAUCUUCUGUGGUUUGUAUGGUGUACUUGUUGAUACUUCAUCCAUGUAAUGAAAAUAAAUCACAAAAUAAUCAAAAAGAAAUAUAAUAAAAUUUAAUGAAGUUAUGUAGUUUAAACUAAAAAAAAAUAAUUACAUUUAUAUUCAGCUUUGAUAACUUAUUGUUUAUUAAUUUUUAGAUAACAGAAAUUGAUGGGUAAUUCAAUAACUUCUUUAAUUUGUAAAACUAAAUUACACAUUAGAUUUAAAAAAUAAAUAAAUAAAGUGCUUAUAGCCUCCCCUUGAUUACUAGUAGUGAUAUUUUGUAAUCAUGGUAUAGCACAAUAUAUACUAAACAUUUUUACUAAUUAAGAAAAUACUGUAAAAUUGAGUACUUUAAUGCAAUAUUUUCUGCAAUAUAAAUUGA